rnacentral:rRNA from 1 species
GUGGAUUAGAUACCCUAGUAGUCCAUGCCCUAAACGAUGAAUACUAGACGUUGGGUGUAAAAACUCAGUGUCGCAGCUAACGCAUUAAGUAUUCCACCUGGGGAGUACGAUCGCAAGGGUGAAACUCAAAGGAAUUGACGGGGGCCCGCACAAGCAGUGGAGCAUGUGGUUCAAUUCGAUGCAACGCGAAGAACCUUACCUGGGCUUGACAUGUAAGCUAAAGCGAAUGAAAGUUCGUGUCCCGCAAGGGGAGCUUAUACAGGUGCUGCACGGCUGUCGACAGCU